GCAUCUGAGAUAGCUCAGUUGGUAGAGCUUGAAACUCUAAAUCUCAAGGUCAUGGGUUCAAGCCCCACAUGGGGCA